rnacentral:antisense_RNA from 1 species
CCUUAUGGGCGGGCCUAGGCGGGGGAGCCUUCGGGCUCGCCGGUUCUCUGUCCCGGUCUGCUAACCCCGCCUUGCGCCCGCCCACCCCG